UACGAAGGGGGCUAGCGUUGCUCGGAAUCACUGGGCGUAAAGGGUGCGUAGGCGGGUCUUUUAAGUCAGGGGUGAAAUCCUGGAGCUCAACUCCAGAACUGCCUUUGAUACUGAAGAUCUUGAGUUCGGGAGAGGUGAGUGGAACUGCGAGUUGUAGAGGUGAAAUUCGUAGAUAUUCGCAAGAACACCAGUGGCGAAGGCGGCUCACUGGCCCGAUACUGACGCUGAGGCACGAAAGCGUGGGGGAGCAAACAGG
rnacentral:rRNA from 1 species